rnacentral:lncRNA from 1 species
GCCUCCAGAGUAGCUGGGACUACAGGCGCCUGCCACUACGCCUGGCUGAUUUUUUGUAUUUUUAGUAGAGACAGGGUUUCACCGUGUUAGCCAGGAUGGUCUUGAUCUCCUGAUCUCGUGAUCCGCCCACCUCGGCCUCCCGAAGUGCUGGGAUUUCAGGCGUGAGCCACCGCGCCGGGCCCACGGAUGGAUUCUUAAGCAGUUGCCAUACAAUGUGCUGUGCAAUCAUUGCACACCCUCAAUGACCAGAUUUCCCAUUUUAUUGUCACCAAGUCGAAGGCACUGGAGGAGGACAAAGACCCUUUUCUACCCACUGAGAAGGAGACUCUGAAGAGUUCCAUGAUAUUGAUGAGGCACCUCUUAAUGGAUGCUCAGGGAAAGGGAUGCAUUCCACAGAGUCCUAGGAUCCUGGGAGACAGGCCUGGAGUGGUGUGUUCCUUCUCUGACCCCAAGGCCAGAGAAAAAAGGUGUUUCCUUUGGAGACAAGAAUAGCUUCUUGAAAGACUUUAGUUAUUAUUGCUGUUGAAAAGCUCUGAAGCAGCUCGGCAGCGACUCUAAGAAUACUACUGGGCUCUCUCAGUCACACUGAAGCAUCUUUUCUGAGUUGAGACAUAGGUGAAAAUGUGUGCGCGCCUACAUGCAAAGCGUGAUAUUCACAUGUACAUUCUUAAACAUGUAGCAUCAGCAUUUGAAAGGCUUACCAAAAAAAGAAAAAAAAAAAGCUGGAAUUCAAACCCAGAAACCAGGAAGCAGCUGCAGAAAUACCUAGGUGUGACUCUACAGAGAUUCUGGCUCCCUUUCCAGAUGCAUUGAUCUUAGAACUUGACAACUGAGAAAUGGAUCUUUACCAUUCUUUUUGCCUAAAGUAUUAUAUAUACUUGAAUGCAACAUUGUGUUUUAUUUUCCAACUCUGCCAAGAUUCAAUCUACUGGUAUUGAAUAUCCACCAAAAGAAUGCUAGACUAUUACAAAGCAUGCACAAAAGAGGUACAGAAAACCCAUACGCCUUAUUCUCUCUCCAACUCUGAUAGCGAUAAAACACCGACUUCACCCUUUACACUCAGAGAUUCUGACUAAUAAGCAGAGACAGAUAGGAGAAAGUGAAAUUGAAUCUCAAUUAUAAGAGAUAUAAGAGAAUGACUGUUUUUAUUGCAGUUGUAGAGUUUGGUCUUUUCUAUGCUUUACUUAAUUCUGUUACUAAAAAAAAAAAAAAAAAAAAAAAAAAAAGAUCUUUUUUGUUUAAAUUCAGCUGCAAGAGCCUAAAGAGGUUUGAAUAGUGGCAAACUGUAAUAAAUCAUUUUAAAAGGGAAAAGAUUUCACAAAAGUAAAUCAGAGUCAUUUCCCUACCUUAGAACUUGAGUUUCCAUUACUUCCAGGAGGUUUUCAACUUCAGGAUGAAUAGAGUCACCAGAAGAAUAAUUUAUUUCAGUUUAAAGUUGGCCAUAUGAAUGAGUAUGGAAUUUGAAACAGAGUAAAAUAAUAGGACAUUUAAUACUGCUUGUCAAAGACUACUUACCCAUUCAGCCUAUGAAGAUAUAUACUUGGAGAACCAGAUUGUCAACAGAAUUAAGAAUCUGGAAGACUUAGAGGGUUAGGGCUUGGCUUCCAAUACAGCCACCCGAUCAACAUAUUGACUAUUGCUUGGCCCUUUGGGAACUAUUGGGUGGCUGAUCCAAUUUGAGAUGGAAAAAAAAAAAGAGGAAGAAGAAGAAUCUUCAAUGUAGAAGAAAAGGCAGAGUGACAAAAACCCAUCAUUAGAAAGAAGUCAUGUUAAUUCCUUGCCCAUGGUCUCGUAACAUAUUUUAAUGACUUCCUAUGCCUUCUGGUUAAAACUCAAGCUUUGCAGCCUGGCACCAAUUUCUAUCCGGUUUCCCUUGCCUGUACUUUUACAAGCUGCUUCUCCUUCACCUCAUUCGUAUUCAAUGUCUGGGACUCAGUUCAAGGCUCUUACUUUGGAAACGUUCCCUGACUUUGCUCACUGAUCCCUUCUCCAGUUUUCUUCUUUCACAUUACCAUAGCACCUUGAAUUUACAAGGCACAAAAUCCAUGGCUCGUCAGUGUUCUUUUAUGCCUCUACUCCAUCAUAAGCUCCUAGCUCAAAGGACUCGUUCCUCCACCUCCUAUUGGUAGCACUGUGCCAGGUCGUGUCCACUCACCACUGCAGACCCUUUCUCCAGCCUUCUCCUGCCUGCUCUGUGCCCCAGGGUGAAGCCACAGGCAGGCAGUGCUCUCUGGCUUCUAGCUGGGAAGAUGCCAAAGAAAACUGGAGGGUAGGCCAGGCACGAUGGCUCAUGCCUAUAAUCCCAGCACUUUGGGAGGCCGAGGCAGGUGGAUCACUUGGGGUCAGGGGUUUGAGACCAGCCUGGCCAACAUGGUGAAACCCCAUCUCUACUAAAAUUACAAAAAUUAGCUGGGUGUGGUGGUGGGUGCCUGUAAUCCCAGCUACUUGGUGGGCUGAGGCAGGAGAGUCACUUGAGCCCUGGAGGCGGAGGUUGCAGUGAGCUGAGAUCAGGCCACUGCACUCCAGCCUGGGCGACAGAGCAAGACUCUGUCUCAAAAUAAAAAAAAUAAAAUAAAGGAAAAAGAAAAAAAAUGGAGAGUGGAGGGUGGGAAGAGAUAGGAGUCUGGGUACUUAUUCUCCUGGGUCCCUCCCUCCAAGCCAUGGGUUGGCCAAGGCAGCAAGCCCCUGUCUAAGUAGCCUCUUCGCUACAGUGACAGUUCCCCAGGUUCUAGAACCCCUUCUUCCCCUUCCUGUUCAGGCCUGGGGACCUGGGGACAGUAACAGCUUCCCACUCUUGCCUGUCCUCGGUGCUUUGUCAUCCUUUAUUGAUUUUCUUAACCCUGCAGCAGCAUGGUAAACAGUUCCCUCGUUAAACCCUCCUCAAUUAACCUUAUUGACGGUACCAUUGCUUUUCUGCCAAGAUCCUAACCAAUGCAUUGCCAAGCAGAAUCCCCAGCAAAUCUAGGAAUCUGUAAAUAUUUGGUGAGUGUGUUUAUAAAACUAAGAUCAUGCCAAAGUGGACAUCGGGUGACUGGAGUUCUGAUGCUAGCUCUAGCUCAGGCAAGUCGUGUGAGUUCAGGCAAUGCUAAAAGCCCCCACCUCUCAACUUUUCCCAAACAUAAAAGAAAGCUUAGAUGCAGAGACCGCUUCUACAAUCCCCAUCACUGCUAAGUGCACUUCUCUUGCACAUCUCACUUUUUGGGGUGGAUGCUCACUUCUCUCCCCCACCCAAGUCUUAGAUAGGGAGAAGGCUGCCUUGAGGCUCUGCCAUGGGAUCGAUUCCUCCUAAGCUAGAAGAUAUUGAUCCCGUGACAAUUGCUGUCCUGCCUUUCUUUCUGGGAGGAGCUGGCUGUGGGCGCCAGGAUUGUGCAAAAGGGAGGUGUUUCUGAAUAACAAUGGUGCAUUGUCUCAUUAUCGAUUGUUCUGCAGUCUAACUGGGUUAGAUGGGUGCACAUUUCAGACCCCUCCCAAGCAAACCAAAUCCUUUAAAGGGAGAGAGGCAGGUGUAGACAGGACAGGGUUAUUUUAUUUCAUAUGAAGAUGCUGAGCUCCUGAUGAGUUACAUUUUUAUUUCUUUUUGAAUGCUAAAAAUGACUGAUGGCCACAGUCCUGGCAGUGACCCUGGCUUGGCCCUAGUGGCUUGGGCCUCAGUUGUACUCCAGGUCUUGUCCUUGCCAGCCUGUCCUGAAACCCUCACUGAGCUUAGCGGUGUGCUCACAUCUCCUGGGAAUGUUCUGCCCCUGGCCGAGCUCUGCAUCUGGCUAACUUCUCCAGCAGGCGCAGUAGCAGAGGCCCACCACGCUGUUCAAGGCACCUGAUGUUUCAUUAAUCAAAAAUGUUUUAAUUUCUUUUAAACUUAGAAAAACGUGAAUAGAAUAAGUGAAUUCAUAUAAUAAUGAAUUAAGUUGCAUUAUAUGUCUUUAUGUCAUUGUGUUUGUAAAAUAUAAUUUUUAAUACUUUCUAUGAAAGAGAAGGCCACAAAGGCAAAAGCACCCAGGGCCCCCAAGUCAUGAUGCUACCCUGCCCUGCAGAAUGCCAGCAAUGAAGUAUUCCUUGGGCAAAUAAAGUCUGGGAACUCAAGGGCCACACCUCCCCUGGGAGAGUCAUAUCCUACGCUGGCAUGUCAAAGAGCCAGAGCCGUGCUGCAGUGGGAAAAUCUGUUUCACUUCCUUUAAGCCAACUAUUCCCAAACGUAUUUGCACACAGAACACUUGCAGAAACACCGACCUAAACUUUACUUGUUUUAUUUCUCUUUUCAGCCUAGAUAAUUUCUCAAAACUUAAGUAGUACAACCUUGUAUUUAUUUUGUAAAUGUCCCUUGGGAAAUUUAUAGUUAUAGAUGCCUAUUUUUUAAAAGAAGCAAGAUCUCAAAUUAAUAACCUAAACUUCCACUUUAAGGAAUUAGAAAACCAAGAGCAAACUAAACUCCAAGCAAGCAGAAGGAAGGAAAUAAUAAAAACUGGAACCGAAACACAUGAAAGAUAGAAUAGAAAGAUGAUAGAGAAAAUCGAAGAAACCAAAAGUGGGUUCUUUCAAAAGAUCAACAAGAUUGAUAACACUCACAAAGAAAAAUGAAGACUCAAAUGACUUAAACCAGGAAUGAAAAAGUAGACAUUACUACCUACCUCAUAAAAUAAAACAGAUUAUAAAUAAAACAGAGUAUGAGGAAAUACUAUGCACAUUGUAUGUCAACAAAUGAUAUAGCCUAGAUGAAAUGGGAAAAUUCCUGGAAGACACAAACUACAGAAACUGACUCAAGAAUACAUUGAAAAUCUAAAUUGACUUAUAACAAGUAGAGAGAUUAAUUUCUAGUUUUAAAAAGUUCCCACAAAGAAAAGCCCAGGCCCAAAUGGAUUCACUGGUGAAUUCUACUAAAUGUUUAAAGAAGAAUAAAUACCAAUUCUUCACAGACUUUUUCAUAACCUAAAAAGAGCAUCUGCAAAAAAUAAAUAAAUAAAUAAAUAAAUAAAUAAAUAAAUAAAUAAAUAAAUAAAAAUAAUAAUAAAAGCCCACAAUUAACAUGAUACUUAAUGGUGAAAGAAUGAAUGUUUUCCCUCCAAGAUCAGAAAUAAGACAAAGAUAUUCAUUCUCACUACUCCCAUUUAACAUUGUACUGGAGGUUCUAGCCAGCGCAAUUAAGCAAGAGAAAGAAAAAAGUAUCCAGAUUGGAAAAGUAGAUCUAUUUGCAGAAGCCAUGGCCUGGUAUAUAGGAAAUCCUAAGGAAUGACUCACACACAUACUCAAAACCAUCAGAAUUAACAAAUAAGUUCAACGAAGUUGUAAGAUACAAGAUCAAUCUUGUAUCUUCCAUCAAGAUAUAAGAUGUAAGAUACAAAAUCAAUUCUAUUUCUAUACAUUAGCGAUGUACUAUCCAGAAAUAAAAUUUUAAAAACAAUUCCUUUUAGAUUGGAAUCAAAAAGAACAAAACACUUUGGUAUAAAGUCAACAACAGAGGUGCAAGAAUUCUACACUAAGGACUACAAAACAUGUUGAUGGAAAUUAAGGAAGACUGAAAUAGAUGAAAAUAGUCUUCCAUGAUCAUGAAUUGAAAGAGUUAAUAUUGAUAAAUGGCAAUACUCCCCAAAGUGAUCUAUGGAUUCAACACAAGCACUAACAAAAUCCCGGCUGUAAUCAAUCUAAGCAAUGGAAGAUUAUUCAGCCAUAAAAACGAAGGACUGAUCUGUGCUACAACAUGGGUGCACCUUGAAAACAUUCUGCUAAGUGAAAGAAUCCAGUCAUAUUGUAUGAUUUCACUUAUAUGCAAUAUUGAGAAUAGCCAAAUCAAUAGAAACAGCAGAUCAGUUCUUCCUGGGACCAAGGGAGGGGAGAAUGAAGAGAGACUAGUAAUGAUUACAGAUUUUUGAGGGUUGGGUUAUGAAGAAGUUUUGAAAUUAGUUAGUGGUGAUGGUUGCACUACUCUCUGAACAUACUAAAAGCCACUGAACUGUAGACUUUAAAAAAGGUAAAUUUUAUGAUAUGUGAAUUAUAUCUUAAUAAAGCUGUUUUUUUUUUAAUGUCCCCUGAGAGCCACUGCCAGGAAUGCCCCUCGUGGGUCUGUUCCAGUAUGUAAUGAAAUCUGUGCUUGUCCUCUCCAACCCCUUCGGGACUUUCCUCUGCUAACUCUGCAUCUUUCCAGACUGAAGAGUCUUGAUAUCUUCAUUCAUUUAUUCACUGAUUCAUUCAUUCACCACAUAUCAACUGAAUUGUGCUUUGUGCUAGACCUGAAGGCAAUAGUUUUGAAGAAGACAGACCUGGUCCUUGCCCUCAGACAAGCUUACAAUCCAGCAUAUAUGCAUUUAGAAUUAAAUUCUCAAUUUCUGGGUUUUUUUAGGUCAUCUCUUGCAGGGUAAGGGCAGGAGUAGGGGGUAGAGAAACCAUGAGCUCUCUUCUUUAGAGCCCUCUGUUCAGGUCUCCAGUAAACCCUACUCCUGGGGGCCUACCAAAAUGUUAUCUUCUGGCAAACGGUCAGUUUAAAAGGUUUACUUUUUAUGCUUCCUCUAUUUUAGUUGAGGACUGAACUAAACUAAACCUCCAACGUCUGCUGGGCUCCUGGUAUGUCCUGAGCACUGUGUGAUGACCACAGCAUCCCUGCAAGGCACGGCUGUAUAAUGUCUUCGUUCUCCCCAGUGAGAUGCCUGUAACUGACCUAACUUAAAGAGAAAUAUGUUCUGCCUCCCAUCUUCAGAGGAAGAAACCCUCUGAGACCUACAUGUGAUUUGUCUUGUUGCCUGCAAAAGUUUGCUCUUUAUGGUGACAGCUAGGCUUGCUUGGGAGAUUUGAACAGAUACAGCUUCUUGGUGCAGCUGCCUCUGCUCUCCUAAUUUGAUCCUGAGCCUAACAAUUACAGUUAUCAAGGAGCCAGCUCUUCCAAAAGGUUUCCUGCAAAUCACGUCAUCAUCUGUGAUGUGUACAAUUUGGUCUCUUGGAUUAUGCAAUGAUUCUGGGUGUUGUUUUAAAGCCUGACUUUAAUAAAAAGCCCGAGAAAAGAACAAAUGCAAAUGGGUGUUGACGUGGACUGCCCAUCCUCUGGCACCAGCAGUAGAAUACAGACAGUACCUACAGCAACACAAUAGAUAAUGCAUCUGCAAUUACCGGGAUACUUAACAUGUGUUGUAUAACUCAUCGGAGAAAAUAUAGAUCUUUUGUGUGUGUUUCAGAUGUAGAAGGAAUGAAUGAAUCACAGGUCAUAAACUCAGGCGUGGGACAAGUAUCAGAUCUUUGUAUUUUCUUCCAAGCAGCUUAAUUUCAAUCGUGACUACUCCAUGCCAACAGGUAGGCAGGAAAUUCCACCUCAUUGAUUCUCUGGGUGCCCCUGUUCCCACCCAGAGGGUCUUUCUCUAGCACCAAGGUGCUGGGAGGGCUCCCUGUCCGCCUGUAAUUCCCCCAACUCCCCAGCAUGUACGAGCUAUGAGUCACUAGGCCACACUGGUUGCCAUGGAGACACUCAUCGUCCUAGUCUACUGGUCCCUCCAGGUUGAGGCUGCGGCUUCCACACCAGGCAUGGAGGCUUCAGGAUCUUGGUGAGGCUGGGAGGCACCUCACCCUUCCCCACUGGCAUCCUCACCAACCCCCUGAGCCUGGCCAGAGAGCAGGGUGCUGCCUCCCCUAGCUGUCAGAAUACUUUUUGGCUCCCAGUCCAGGGCAAUAAACUUUUCUUCAAAGAUUCUCUCGCUCUUCAUGUCCCUCCCAGAGUUGCUCCCUCUCCACCAAACCCAUCCACCUCUGUGAUUGUAAGCUUUGGCAAACCAAGGCCAGAAAGGGAGCUGUCCAGUGGGCAGCUCCAACUCUCCACCCUGCCUGGAGCCUCCCAGCUCGGAGCUUGUGGCCUACCAGAGACAUGGAAAGGGCGGAAAUAAAGAAAAGCAAUGCCCAAAUAGAUACAAAUGUGUCCCAUCCCUGCAAAUGUCACAAAGUCAUGAAUAAUUACCACGAGGGACACUUCCCCAGCUUUUUUGCUGCUCCAUCACCAGCAGCCCUCUAGUGAAUCCCAGCACUUCCUUCACUUUCUCUCCUAGUUCCAUUCCCAAGCCAAUAUUUCUUUGUACAUUCCAGCUGCCUUCUGAAUCCCUUACUUCCUCUUCAGUGUUCCCACGCAGGUGACAGCAGGAAGAAGCAUGGUCUGGUUGAUCCGAUGGUACAUGAAGCUAAUGGCCAUGAGCCUCCCAUGUGGUCCUGGGGCUGCACAGAAUGUGCUGGUGGCCACAGGAAGGCUCAGAGACCAUGAUGUUGAGGAAGGGGCUCAAGGGGGCUUACAGACAUGGCAGAGACACAUGAGAUGGAAUAAAAAUGCCACAUAUGUCAGUCAAAUUGAAUAGCUAAGGGAGAGCGAGGUGUUGUUUUGAAAGCGUAUAUCCACGUGGCUUAAAGGCGUGUCACUCGUUUUGUUUUGUUUUGUUUUGUUUUGUUUUGUUUUGU